rnacentral:rRNA from 1 species
AACGCUAGCUACAGGCUUAACACAUGCAAGUCGAGGGGAAACGACAUCGAAAGCUUGCUUUUGAUGGGCGUCGACCGGCGCACGGGUGAGUAACGCGUAUCCAACCUGCCCAUCACUUGGGGAUAACCUUGCGAAAGUAAGACUAAUACCCAAUGAUAUCUCUAGAAGACAUCUGAAGGAGAUUAAAGAUUUAUCGGUGAUGGAUGGGGAUGCGUCUGAUUAGCUUGUUGGCGGGGUAACGGCCCACCAAGGCGACGAUCAGUAGGGGUUCUGAGAGGAAGGUCCCCCACAUUGGAACUGAGACACGGUCCAAACUCCUACGGGAGGCAGCAGUGAGGAAUAUUGGUCAAUGGGCGAGAGCCUGAACCAGCCAAGUAGCGUGCAGGAUGACGGCCCUAUGGGUUGUAAACUGCUUUUAUAAGGGAAUAAAGUGAGUCUCGUGAGGCUUUUUGCAUGUACCUUAUGAAUAAGGACCGGCUAAUUCCGUGCCAGCAGCCGCGGUAAUACGGAAGGUCCGGGCGUUAUCCGGAUUUAUUGGGUUUAAAGGGAGCGUAGGCCGGAGAUUAAGCGUGUUGUGAAAUGUAGAUGCUCAACAUCUGCACUGCAGCGCGAACUGGUUUCCUUGAGUACGCACAAAGUGGGCGGAAUUCGUGGUGUAGCGGUGAAAUGCUUAGAUAUCACGAAGAACUCCGAUUG